AAAUUGUUUAGACUCCUUUCCACAAUGAACCCAACCAUGAAAUUGGCACCAUGAUAAUCACAAUCAGGCCACAGAACUAUCAAUUGCCUGGUCAACAGAAAAUACAAAAACAUUCUUGCUACAAUUGAAAAUCAAGAACAUUAAUGAGGCAAGUAUGUUUAGGGCCAUUAUGGUAGAUUUCUAGGUUGCAAAUAUGUUUAGGGUCAUUGAACUCGAGUGGGAGAAUGUUAUGUAUAAAAAUUUUACCGGUUAU
rnacentral:misc_RNA from 1 species